rnacentral:rRNA from 1 species
CACGUAGGGGGCGAGCGUUGUCCGGAUUUAUUGGGCGUAAAGAGCUCGUAGGCGGCUUUGUCAGUCGGGUGUGAAACCUCCAGGCUCAACCUGGAGCCGCCACCCGAUACUGCAAUAGCUAGAGUCCGGUAGGGGAGCAUGGAACUCCUGGUGUAGCGGUGAAAUGCGCAGAUAUCAGGAAGAACACUAGUGGCGAAGGCGGUGCUCUGGGCCGGAACUGACGCUGAGGAGCGAAAGCGUGGGGAGCAAACAGG